rnacentral:rRNA from 1 species
AUGAACGCUAGCUACAGGCUUAACACAUGCAAGUCGAGGGGCAGCAUUUUAGUUUGCUUGCAAACUGAAGAUGGCGACCGGCGCACGGGUGAGUAACACGUAUCCAACCUGCCGAUAACUCCGGAAUAGCCUUUCGAAAGAAAGAUUAAUACCGGAUAGUAUACGAAUAUCGCAUGAUAUUUUUAUUAAAGAAUUUCGGUUAUCGAUGGGGAUGCGUUCCAUUAGUUUGUUGGCGGGGUAACGGCCCACCAAGACUACGAUGGAUAGGGGUUCUGAGAGGAAGGUCCCCCACAUUGGAACUGAGACACGGUCCAAACUCCUACGGGAGGCAGCAGUGAGGAAUAUUGGUCAAUGGGCGAGAGCCUGAACCAGCCAAGUAGCGUGAAGGAUGAAGGCUCUAUGGGUCGUAAACUUCUUUUAUAUGGGAAUAAAGUUUUCCACGUGUGGAAUUUUGUAUGUACCAUAUGAAUAAGGAUCGGCUAACUCCGUGCCAGCAGCCGCGGUAAUACGGAGGAUCCGAACGUUAUCCGGAUUUAUUGGGUUUAAAGGGAGCGUAGGUGGAUUGUUAAGUCAGUUGUGAAAGUUUGCGGCUCAACCGUAAAAUUGCAGUUGAAACUGGCAGUCUUGAGUACAGUAGAGGUGGGCGGAAUUCGUGGUGUAGCGGUGAAAUGCUUAGAUAUCACGAAGAACUCCGAUUGCGAAGGCAGCUCACUAGACUGUCACUGACACUGAUGCUCGAAAGUGUGGGUAUCAAACAGGAUUAGAUACCCUGGUAGUCCACACAGUAAACGAUGAAUACUCGCUGUUUGCGAUAUACAGUAAGCGGCCAAGCGAAAGCAUUAAGUAUUCCACCUGGGGAGUACGCCGGCAACGGUGAAACUCAAAGGAAUUGACGGGGGCCCGCACAAGCGGAGGAACAUGUGGUUUAAUUCGAUGAUACGCGAGGAACCUUACCCGGGCUUAAAUUGCAACAGAAUAUAUUGGAAACAGUAUAGCCGUAAGGCUGUUGUGAAGGUGCUGCAUGGUUGUCGUCAGCUCGUGCCGUGAGGUGUCGGCUUAAGUGCCAUAACGAGCGCAACCCUUAUCUUUAGUUACUAACAGGUCAUGCUGAGGACUCUAGAGAGACUGCCGUCGUAAGAUGUGAGGAAGGUGGGGAUGACGUCAAAUCAGCACGGCCCUUACGUCCGGGGCUACACACGUGUUACAAUGGGGGGUACAGAAGGCGGCUACCUGGUGACAGGAUGCUAAUCCCAAAAACCUCUCUCAGUUCGGAUCGAAGUCUGCAACCCGACUUCGUGAAGCUGGAUUCGCUAGUAAUCGCGCAUCAGCCAUGGCGCGGUGAAUACGUUCCCGGGCCUUGUACACACCGCCCGUCAAGCCAUGAAAGCCGGGGGUACCUGAAGUACGUAACCGCAAGGAGCGUCCUAGGGUAAAACUGGUAAUUGGGGCU